rnacentral:rRNA from 1 species
GGGGGGGGGGGGGGGGGGGGGGGGGCAGGGGGGGCGGGGGGGGAGGGCGCGGUGGGGGUGGUCGAGGGGGGGGCGGGGGAGGUACUCGUGAGUGGGCUGUCGUUUCCUUUGGCUUUGGUUGAGGGUGGUGGGGCGCCUCUCGUGUAGGAACGCUUGCUGCAUGGUUGCGCGUGGACAGCUUCGGCGGUUUUGGCUGGACUCGCGGUUUAUCAGCUUGUUGGUUGGGUAGUGGCUUGCCAAGGCUUUGCCGGGUAGCCGGCCUGAGAGGGCGAUCGGCCACAUUGGGACUGAGAUACGGCCCAGACUCCUACGGGAGGCAGCAGUGGGGAAUAUUGCACAAUGGGCGGAAGCCUGAUGCAGCAACGCCGCGUGCGGGAGGACGGCCUUCGGGUUGUAAACCGCUUUCAGCAGGGGCGAAGCUUGUGGUGACGGUACCUGCAGAAGAAGCACCGGCUAACUACGUG